rnacentral:rRNA from 1 species
UACGAAGGGGGCUAGCGUUGUUCGGAAUUACUGGGCGUAAAGCGCACGUAGGCGGAUUUGUAAGUCAGGGUGAAAUCCCGGGGCUCAACCUCGGAACUGCCUUUGAUACUGCAAGUCUCGAGUCCGAUAGAGGUGAGUGGAAUUCCUAGUGUAGAGGUGAAAUUCGUAGAUAUUAGGAAGAACACCAGUGGCGAAGGCGGCUCACUGGAUCGGUACUGACGCUGAGGUGCGAAAGCGUGGGGAGCAAACAGG